UACGGGGGGGGCAAGCGUUGUUCGGAAUUACUGGGCGUAAAGGGCUCGUAGGUGGCCAACUAAGUCGGACGUGAAAUCCCUCAGCUUAACUGGGGAACUGCGUCCGAUACUGGAUGGCUUGAGUUUGGGAGAGGGAUGCGGAAUUCCAGGUGUAGCGGUGAAAUGCGUAGAGAUCCGGAAGAACACCGGUGGCGAAGGCGGCCUGCUGGGCAGUUGCUGACACUGAGGCGCGACAGCGUGGGGAGCAAACAGG
rnacentral:rRNA from 1 species